ensembl:lncRNA
GAAAGAGGUUCUGCUCCGUGCAUCUCUGAGUGCCUUCCUGAGGCUGAUGGGACACUCCCUCACCGGUCUGCCUGAGCCUACAACUUCUCCAGGGCCGACCUAUGUUCCUCUCCCCUGCACCAAAGGACUACAUGUGUGAGGGGCCGUGUUACAAGUGGAAGCUCCGAAAGGCGACUCUGCUUCUGUGCCGGGUUUAUCACCGUUGCCCGGAGCCACCGGCUCCCCACCCCCACCCUGUGCAAAUACACAGCGGAUCGCAGGCAACAGCCAGACUGUGGGAAGGACUGGUGAGCGCCUGGAGAGGAGCUCCUGUACCUGGGAGGCAGGACCUCGGUAUGAAGCCAUUAGGCUGAAGGCGGAGCUUAGUGGCACAGAAGGCAGAACCUGGGUGUGGAGAAAUAGACUGAAGGCGGGGCUGGGCUGGCGAGAGGCGGAGCCCCGGAGAGAAGCAACAGAAAUGAGGGCGGAUCUUAGAAACGAUGAAGGCGGAGCCCAGGAAGAAGACUGGACUCACUUUCCUGUGUUUGACAGCACAUUUGUGUCCUAUUCAGGGAACAGAGAUGGUAUUUGGCAAAGUUGUUUGACCAAGCACAAGGUAGAUAAUAGUCAUUUGCUCCCAGCACGACUGACUCCGGAUCUGUGGGCUCAGAGCAGUAAUGUUGCAGAUGGAAAAAGAACUGAAGAGAGACGCACACACAUGCACCCCAGGACACAGGUUUGGUUCCCAGAACCUGGGGACCAGAUGGUGGCUACCCAUAAUUCCAGUUCCAAGGGAUCCAGCACCCUCUUCUGACUUCUGAGGUGCUGAGCACUGAACGCAUGGCCUCACACAUGGUGAGGGGGUCAGCUCUCCCAUCUUCCACCGAGCUUCGGUUUUUCAGCCAUCUCUCCAGCUCAUGUGAUGCUCGUUGGAAAAGCACACACAUCAAACAUUUGAAAAUAGACACCACUCAUCUUUGGCAACAACAAGGUUCAGAAGAUCCUCCGGAGGAUCUUCUGUCCUCAAGGAAUUGUUAGAGACUUCUACUUACAGAAAAAGCAAGGACAGCUGGUUAAGAUAAAAACAUACUCCUGCAGAGCAGGCGGGCUGAAGGAAAUAGAGAACAUAGAGGGGAAAGUACCCUACUGUAAGGCCCUGGACUCUUGCCUUGUGCCCACCUUAAUGGAGCUCAUCUUAAUAGGGCUCUGGGUGUAACUUGGGUCCUCACACUUAGUACUUUGCCAACUGAGACAUUCCCCCAACUCUGUGUUGUCUUUUCUAUACGUCCUCAAGCUGCUAUAGACAAAAGAGAAUUGAGACAUUUGUCUCUCCCUAAAUCUGGGCAUAACUAUUAAGACACUGUUUCCCUUUCCAGUGUCAGUCUACGUCUGUGGUAGUGGUGAGCAGUGGACUGAGUACCCAUUUACCAUAAUAUAGAGUAGAUUCAUUGACAAGUGCCACUGUGUACAUCAAUUUGUUUGUCCAUCACUACCACUCUACAGCUCAGCUGGACCCUGCCCAACUCAGCUGCCCAUAUAUUCUGCUCUGUGAAACACUUUAAUUCCAUUGCAGAGGCUAAGAACAGAAUAACAAUCAUGGAUGUGUACAAUGUAUCCAAGGCUUAGGGGUGUUGAGUCAUGCCCUCAACACCUGCUUUUCGACCGACCUACCCCUUACAGCCCCCAACAAUUCAGGUUUCAUUACUAUGCCAUAAAAGAAACAGGAGACACCAGAUCUCAUGAAAUGUGUAAAUAACUUUAAACUUUAUUGAGUAAAAAUUGCAAAAACACAACCAUAAUAUAAUUAAUAGAAAAGUUAAAUACAAACUACCACAUGUAAAAUAGGUUAUUGUAAAACUGGUGGUAUCAACCCUAAAUACUACACCCCGAACUUAUACAUUGGGAAUGUUAAUCUAAUGAAGAACAUCUCAAGUUCAUCUUAAUAUAGACCAAAAUUUUUUAAGAAAAAAAUUUUAAAUUAAAUAGAACUUUUCAAAUGAACAGUUCAAUCCAACCCUAGAUGGGGCCUGAGAUAAAAAAUGGCCAUUUGCCAUUGUAUUUUCUUCACAUCAACUUCCAAAUCUAAUGCAGAUCUGGGAAAGAAUCAGUCUUUAAAUGACCAUGAUGCUUUUCUUCAUAGUCCUGGAUGAGCAGGCAGUAGUUGGGCCAAAGUUCUCUACCCUGUACUAGUCAGUCAGUAGAGUAUGGUGGUUCAGAACAGCCCAGGUCUGGGCAACCCGUUUUCAUUUCUUAAACUAUUUUCAAGCUUAAAAAAGCCCAAAAUAUUAAAAAAGCACCACCACUACUCCCAACUUCAAUUUAACAGCAUCCAACUCCAGCAUUAGAGAUGCUACUGAACAGCUCCAGCUUCUUCCUGCUGAUGUCCCUCCUGACCUGCAGCAGGGGAUGACAGGAGGAGGGCAUUCCUUUUGGGAAUAGUUCAAACAAGGACUAGAGGAUUGGAAAAUGAUAAUGGCCAAGGAUUUCAAGUGAGUUAGGGAAAAUAAUCAGUGGGGUAGGUUCAUGAAGGUAAAAAAAAAAAUAAGAAAAUGAAAAAAACCAAAACAAAACCAAAAAAAUACUUACCAAACGAAAAGGGGGACAAGAAGCAAAAAACGAAUAAAUUAAUAAAACUAAAACCUAAAACCCAAACAAACAAAAAACAAAGCCAAAAACAUACACAAAAAUGCAGAAAAGCAACAACACACAAAAGAAAAACACAAACAAAAGCCCCAAAAAACAAAAAAGGAAAACAAAUCUCAAAAUAAAACAAAACCAAAAACCCAAACACAAACACAAAAAACAAAACCACACAAAAACCCAACACAACAAAAAACCAAACCAAACACACAAAUACAAACAAAAACAAAAAAUAAGAAAAAACAAAACCAAAAACACAAACACACAAAAAAGCAAAACAACAAAAAACAAAAGCAAAACCACACAAAAACAAAACAGCAUGAAACAAAAUAAAAAACAAAACCAAAAACAAAACAAAGAACAAAAUAAAAAAAAACCAAAAACACAAACAAAAACAAACAACAAAAAACAAAAUAAAAAACACACAAAAUAAAACAUCAAAAACAAAAACAAAACCACAAAAAAGAAAACAACUAAAAAACAAAACAAAAACAGGCAAAAGCAAAACGACAUAAAGAAAACAAAAACCACAAACAAUAACAAAAAACCCCAAAACAAUGAAAAAGAUAUUACAAAAACAAACAAACAAACAAAAAAACAAAAACAAAAACACCAAUUCGUUGACUAAAUCCAGCAUUAAAAUAGUAUUUCUUGAUCACGUGGUUCUGACUGCGUUGGACAGUGGCAGUUUCUAAGCUGGCGGUAGUUACAUGCAUUCUAGAGAUGGCAUUAGGGCGGCAGACACACACCCCACGUUAAGACAAUAUUGAAGAGAGUGGGCUCCAUCCGGUCAGACAGCUCAGUACCUGUUUAAAGUCUCUUCAACUCAUCCCACUUGAGGUAUAUUAGAAACAUGGAUGGAAACAGACAGGGCGGGAGCCAUAGCGACCAGGUGGAUGCUGUUACAGUAAGUGACUGUGCAGGAUUUCCCACACCAUCCUCUUCCUGAAGAGGGGCAUGUGUUGCUGAGAAAAGGUCACAGGUUGGUCUCUAGAGAUGUAAUCUGCAUAUUUGCAGGUGAACAUCCCACAGUCGCUCCCAUUCAGUUGUUGAGGGAUCUCCUGUGAAGUUAAGCUGUACUGCUUCCACUCCACAGGGUCCAGCUCCAUGUUCCUUCGGGUCUUGCUCUCAUUUUGUAAAUAGUGGAAGAUGGUCUCACAGAUAUUUUUCCCUGUCUGACCCAUUGAAUCGAGGUAGACAAUGCUUCGCUUUCUUAAAUCGAUUACCACCAGGCUCCAAUGGACCCUCUGGUGAAUAGGCACCAAGAGAAGUUCUUUUUCAAAGAUAUUAAUUCCUCGCGUCCAUUUUUUUCACAAAAUUAUAACCACCAUGCUUUAGCUUGCGGUAAAAGAAAGUGCUAAAUGCAUGAAGAGCAGGUUAGCCUUGGUUUUGAUUUCUCUGAACCGGAAGAUUCAUGUAGAAAUUGAUGACCUCAUCAUUGAGCCACUGACCAUUCUUCAAGGUCUGGAUAUCUCCUCUGGUGAUUUGCAGUUUGAAUCCGCUACUCAUGAUUUCAUUUUGGGGUCCUGGACACAAUCCCUUCUUAAUUUCCUUCUCCAUCUCGUGUGUAACUUCUAUUUCUCUGUUCUUUUCUUGGUCUGUGAGAGGCUUUUUCUCCGCUACAAGUACUGGCAACUUGUUGGGGAGUAACCUACCGCGGCCACUGGUCAGGAUGUUUGCAUUCUCUGUUCCCGGCAAGCCAGGCUCCAAGCUGUUCCCCCUUUAAGAUUUCUCCUCGGCUCACCUCUUCUCACUCUUGGUGCAGAGAACCUCUGUCGAUGGUUCUCGAUCGCGCUGAACUGUUUCUGAUCCAUGAGGAUGCCCUGACAUGCCACAUUUGUUUUUCAAGGUGUCGUAAAGGUUGGGUGAGGCCUGUGUGGGUAGGACCUCACAGGAUGGCCACAUUGAAGCUAUUGAAGUGACUUUUCAUACUUUUCCUUUUGGGGCUUUGAUCUUUUUCCUCCAGGAAAAGAAUAGCGCCUCUUUCGAUCCUUGCCACCAUCAGAAAACUUCUUCUCAGUUAUAGCCUGCUAUGGAGGAUACUCUAGGGGAUUCAGCUUUCUUGAACUUUCUUCCAGGGGUAUCUCUCCCUGAGCCUUGCCCGGCUGUUCUCUUUGAAACGCUAGGUCUUGAUGCUCCUGAGGGGUCUUCUUCAGAGCCUUGCCGGGCUCCUUAAACACCAUCUCUGUUCCAUCCUGGCAUUUCCUUUAUUGACCUUGUCCCAAAGCUUCACAUUCGGCCUUUGUCCCACUUUCGUCCAGGUGUUUCCGUUUUCGACCUUUUCCUUUAGCUUGGGGUUUCAUCUCAGCCCUCGGCUCUUUAGGGCGCCACAUGGAGACCGGCUUGGAUUGGUUUUUUAGAGGAUUCUGACUUUCAAAUUUCCAAGGGAAAAGCAACCGUAUGCCUGGCUCCGGGUGGGUACUCUUGGGUUGUUCCAGUAGGGGUUCAGGGUCUAUUGGGCUCUUCUUUAUGGAGUUGAUUUGCAUAUCAGGGUCAGUCAAAGACGUGUAAAUUUGGCAAUCAGAAACCUGGUUGGUGAAUAGUCCCAGGGGUCCACUCUGGGAACCUGUGGGGAAUUCUAAGAAGACUUCCCCAGAAGUAUCCUUCUAGGGCGCUGUAAUCAACUAAAUGCCUAAAACUUUGAAAUCAGACUGACAGUCCUAGUCAAAUCACUAGUAAGGCCUCACCAGGUCUAAACCUAGCAGCUACCUCUUUGGAAGCAACCUAACGAAAUGAUACCUAAAUCAGGGGGCUGCCCCUAAUGACAGCCUUCAGGGUCCAUAGCUGUUUUUGAUAUCACCUGAAAGAAAUGCAAAUCAGCGUUCUUUGGAGGGUGGACUCUCUCCCCUACCCCAACUAGGUCCAGGAUUUCAAAGCACUCCCUUGCCUGAGUGGGAAGUUUGAAUGAAUGAUACAUAGCUCAGUUCAUUUUGGCAGAGCAGAGUUCCCUAAAUCACCUCAGCAUAAUUUAACUGGUUCUGACUAGUUCAUUUGUCUUUUAGGAACCUGCCCCAUCAUGGUCAAUUAUAGGAAACAAAAUAUAAGUGCCCUUCAACAUAUCUUCUCACAAUAUGCUUGCUAAUUACAAAGAAUACAUAGAAUUUUACAUUUAUAAAACCUUGCAGUUACUAAAGUUGACAAAACUUUUCUCUCUCCUAGAUAAAGAACCCAGGACAGACCAAAGUGCCCAUACCACCAAAGUCCUACUUGGUGAACCAAUGGGUUUUAUUGGGCUUACUUAUAGGAAUAUGGGUGAGGUGUUCCUUACAGGAGCAGAAAUGACUCAAAGACAGCUGCAUCAACAAAGCCCACCCCAGCAUGGUGACAGCUCACAAAAGCUGGAGACCUGGAGAAUCUGCAUAGCCUGUAGAUGGCUUAAUGUCCUUUCCAGGUGCCUCAGUUAGUCUAAACUUCAAGAUAGCUGGUCUGAGGGUGGUUCCUUUGAGAGUCUUCUUUGCAGCUCAGCUUGCUUUCACUCUGACAGGGCAAGAGCCUAGUGAAUCUGAUCAGUUUCAGGGACCAUUUUGAGACUUUUUGAGUUGCCUUCCUACCUGAGGAGCUUCCCUUCAGAGUGAAUGAAGGGAGGAAAGGUUCAGUGUUUCUGUAUUAGAGGAAACUUGGGAAACUGGUACCAAUUCACCAAGGAUCGAUACAUUGUCCUAAGAGAAUAGAGAAAACCUCACUGUUGUCAAUAGGCUCCAUUGAGAAAGAUAACUGGCUAAGUCUGCUACAAUCCUAGCAAUAAAGCAAGUCCUGAACUCCUCCCUAGAAAACAGUAAGAAGGACAAAUUGGAGCUGGAGUUACAGAUUUGUGUGUUUUCCCUGGGUCCUGGGAUCUGAACUCCAGCCGCCAUGAUUAAACAGCAAGCCCUUUAACCACUGCUCCAUCUCUGGGUCCUUGAGCAGCUCCGUGGUCUACUCUCAAAAGUGUGGAGAUGUUUUUACAAAAAAUGUGAGAAAAAGUACUGAGACACGUAUUGUUUGCUUUUUCCACUGAAAAUAUCAACAAACUGUGCAAGUAUAUUUAUACCAAUGUUUUACUGUGAGGGAAAAAUAUACUUUAAUUCUGUAAAAGGUUUGAAUUUCUUGUGAUUAUUUCCACAGGAGUCAUUUUGUUUGUACCAGGCUUCUUUCUCUUCUUUCUUAUUACACCUCGGAGGGAUCUGUUCCCAUACCAAGAAGGAAAUUUUCAUAUUACCACAUCGGUCUUACAUUACCUAAUAGGGCUGCUUUUGUGAUGCUGAACUUUAUGUUAGAGGAUAAAUUUAUUGUACUAAGCUCAUAAAAACAGAAUUGUUUUUUUGUUAGUUUAAGCCAUGAGGAAAUGAGUCUAUCUCAAAUGUAUCCUGUCAGGUAGCCUGAGAUGGACCACUUCCUGGUGCGGCUGAGCUACUCUUCAAAAGUUGCUGAUUUUUGCAAAAUAUUUCAGUGCCUCAGCUUUUCCAACAGAGUGAUGGGUUAUGAGAUUAAACAGGCUAACUGCUAAGUUCUGCUUUUUACAAAACGCCUGCUUGCUUGCAUAGCCAAGGUUCCUACCUGCUGGACAUGUCACAAAAUCCAGGUUCAGACAGUUCUUUGGGUUCCUAAAAUUGUAACUUUGUAAGUUUUGCCUAUGUAAUCCCUUAGCUAACAAAACCCUGGGGCCUUCUCAGUCUUCUUAUAAUAAAAAGCCUCUUAUUGACUGAAAGCCAAACUUGAGUCAGAGUGGUGAAUCUCUGAAGGAGCCCAGACACUAGCACUUUUUUUGUACCUUCCCUUCCAUGGUUUAAUCCCUGCAAAACAAUGUUUUUAGUUCUUACAAUUUCAUUCCUUGCCUGGCUCUUCUGGUUGGUACCUUGAGUAGCCUCAUGGAAAGCACAGCAUUCAUCCUGUGUUCUUCCUGAUGUUCAAAGGGAUCUUCUCACCAUUUCCACUGUAGGAUUUAUUAGGUCAACAAUGUUUCCUAUAUUCCUUCUUAGAGAGAUUUUAUUUUUUUUCGUUAUAAUGAAUGUUUACAUUUUCCAGGUUUUUUUGUUUGUUUUGUUUUGUU